AGGGAUUUGAAUUUGCCAAAGUAGUGAUUCAAGAUUUGAAAAAUAGAGGCUAUUCUGCAAUAGGUGCUGCAGGCUUUUGUUGGGGUGCCAAGGCUGCAAUUCAACUCGCAAAGUGCGACUCUAUUAAGGCUGCUGCCCUCUUACAUCAAUCUUACGUCACUGUGGAUGACAUCAAAGAGGUUAAGGUUCCAUUGGCAGUACUUGCAGCAGAGUUUGACCAUCCAGAGAUCGUCAAACAAUUUGAGGAGGUCUUAAAAGGAAAACCUGAGGUAGGAUAUUAUAUUUUUGUGUUUUCCAUUGGCUGUUGAGGGUUUGUUAGGAGUUGUGUUUACAGUGGCUGCAUUAACAGAUGAAGCAAUGGAUGUUGGUGAGGUUUUUUUUUUUUUUUUGCUGUAAGAGUUCUCUGAUAUGUCUACAAAUUAGUUUAUGAAUUUUGACCUAUAUCUAAUUUGUUCAUGAAAUUGUUUAAAAAUCAUGCUUUAAAGUUUAAUUAAGUGCUUGUUCUCUUUGUUUAAUUAACCCUGUUCAAUCCCCAAAUAACAUCCAGCCAUUUACUACAAUUCAGAGUUGUUUAAGUUCUUGGCACAAUGUUCCAGUGAUAUUUCAUUAUAAGUCUGUAAAAAUUAUAGUAUAGCAUUCAUUCAUUACCUGGGCUAAAUACAUGUUAGUUUGGAUUCAAAGUGGGUUAAUGAAAUCUUUUACAGGUCUUUGUUAAUUUUUAAGCAUCUCCAUUUUUUUUUUGUCUUUAGCACAUAUAAUCAUUAAGCUGUGCAAAAUAGCUAGUGGUAUGAGGUUCAUCUCAUCUGAUGUUCAUGCAUAUCUAUGUAAUAAUCUAUUUGGUUUUAAGGGAAAUAAUAUGUGUCUAAUGUCCAUAUGUGCUG